ACGCGCAGCGGCCACAUCCACGGCAGACAAAUCCGUGCUCAGUGACGUGUCCUGUAUUAGCCUUUUUUGUAAUGCAUGUUCAACCCUUUUCCAUCAGAGACUAAUUUGAAUUGCUGCAAACCUCCCUUGGGUGCUUCUUCUUAUUUCUAUCAUUUCUUGCUGCAAUCCCUUUAAAAACAUUUUAUUUAUUUAUUUAUUUAUUUAUUGCCUCGAUUAUUUAUCCUCUCAACAGUCCCCCCCCCCCCCUUGCCUUCUUCUUCCCCCCUCAGUCUCCAUCUCUUGGGGAGUGCAAGGACGCUGUGAAUUUUUAUAUAUAUAUAUAUAGAGAGAGAUAUAUAUAAAAAGGAACUGAAGCAACAGACAGGAGGUGCGGUGACCAUGGGUUUUCCGCCGCUAAUUUUCUGCUAACGGAGGACGGACAGAGUGGGGUAGCUGUCCACAACCCCCAUAAACUUCACUUCCUCCAGGAAAGAAAGAAUAAAGGAAAAAAAAGACAUUGGGGUAAAAGUGAGAGAGGCACAAGAGGAAAAACAAGCGCAAGAAGGAGCAAGGGGAGCAGGUGAAAACAGUCGAUGGAUGCUGUCCGGAUCGAGGGGGCAGCAAGUUCUUCACUGACAAGGAGAAAAAAGAUUUCAAAAUUGAGUCGAAGGAUAGAAACUCGCCGUCAGGCAUGGUGUGUGAGAAGGGGAUCCAGAUCCUCCUCACCACCGUGGGGGCAUUCGCUGCCUUCGGCCUGAUGACGGUGGCCAUAGGGACGGACUACUGGCUGUAUUCCCGUGCCCUCAUCUGCAACAGCACAGCCAACAUCACGCAGGAUGAUCCCCACAACAAGGACAAGAAGGACCCUGGGGCACUCACCCAUUCGGGGCUGUGGAGAAUAUGCUGCCUGGAAGGUAUG